UGAAAAGCUUGUAAUCCUUUUGGAAGGAUUGCUUGGCUUUCCGGACUUCAUCGGAAAGUAAUUGUGGAUGGUGCGGUUGUUUUGACCUCUGCGGGUUGCAAUGGGGUUGUGCGGGGCGGAGCGGGGGGAGGGGGAGAGAAAGCACGAGAGCGAGCGAGGCGAGGCGCUCGGCCGUUGCAACCCUUGCCGGCGCGUGCAUCUCUUUGGGGGGGGGGAAGAGGUGUGCGUGCGUGUGCACGCACACACACACAUACAGCGCGCACACAGCGAUUAAUUUUUCAGCCACUCAAACUUGACGUGAUAUUUUCGAGGGGGUAACACCCGUGAUUUCAUUAGACUUUUAAAAAAAGAAAAAAAAAACACGCGAAGAAAAAGCAGCAAGCAGCCGCCGCCUCCUCGGCGUUACUCCUUCCUCCCCCUCCCCCUCCUCCCUUCCCCCCCCGCCUUCUUCUCCAUUGAGGACAGGCCGCGACGGUGCAGCCGACGGAGGAGCCGGGCGCGCGAGAUGCUCUUUUGUGCCGGCAGCGGCGGCGGGGUUGCUAAAGACGAGAACCGGGGUGAUCCCCAGUGCUACUUCUCCUCCGACUUCUGCCAGCAGCCAACAGUCGGGCGCUAUUGCCCUAUGGAGAGCCAUUUCCUUUAGCCACUGGCAUCGAAAGGGAGCCUCGGCGCAGUGCCGAAGACCGCAUCCACAGAAAAACUUCACAGUCUUCAAGAGCAAUCAGGGCAAAGCGGUGUCAUUCUGUGGUCUUAAGCAUUGGUGGGAGGGGGUGGAGAGAGAGAAGCCGGCCACAUUAGAACAGCUUAAGGAGAUGGCUUUAAAAGGCAGGCACACUUUAAACGGAACUCCUGCCCUGUGCAACUGGCAGAUGGGCUAG
rnacentral:lncRNA from 1 species